AGUGAACGCUGGCGGUAGGCCUAGCACAUGCAAGUCGAACGGCAGCACAGUAAGAGCUUGCUCUUACGGGUGGCGAGUGGCGGACGGGUGAGGAAUACAUCGGAAUCUACUUUUUCGUGGGGGAUAACGUAGGGAAACUUACGCUAAUACCGCAUACGACCUACGGGUGAAAGCAGGGGAUCUUCGGACCUUGCGCGAUUGAAUGAGCCGAUGUCGGAUUAGCUAGUUGGCGGGGUAAAGGCCCACCAAGGCGACGAUCCGUAGCUGGUCUGAGAGGAUGAUCAGCCACACUGGAACUGAGACACGGUCCAGACUCCUACGGGAGGCAGCAGUGGGGAAUAUUGGGCAAUGGGCGCAAGCCUGAUCCAGCCAUACCGCGUGGGUGAAGAAGGCCUUCGGGUUGUAAAGCCCUUUUGUUGGGAAAGAAAAGCAGCAGGUUAAUACCCCGCUGUUCUGACGGUACCCAAAGAAUAAGCACCGGCUAACUUCGUG
rnacentral:rRNA from 1 species